rnacentral:misc_RNA from 1 species
ACUCCACCUUCGGUAUAUAAUAAAACUUGAGACUCUCUUGCCGGAUGGAUUGUUUCUCACUGCAGGCGCGUGAAUGCGUUGAGAGAAUCGAGAAGCGAACGCUAACCCGGGUCGAUUUAUCGUCGAGCAUCGAAAUGACACCGAAUCCAAUGGUCCCAGAUCCGAAACUCAUGGACGGUGGAAACUACAUCAAGGAAGGCAGAGACUCGGCCAAAAGCACUUGCCUGAUAUUCUCACCCCGGGAAGACGACGAGGUCGGGAGUCUAGGACGCUACUUGAAACUAUUCGCAAAGCACAAAGUCAACCUCCUCCACAUCGAGUCAAGGAGCUCGGCUCGGACCGUCGACAACUAUGAAUUCAUGGUGGAGUGCGCACCUGGCGGUGACUUGGCUGCCGUUAUCGAAACUCUGCGCGACCAGUGCGGAUACUUCUCUAUAAUAUCCAGGAACCACAAGGACAACCUGGGCACCGUUCCGUGGUUCCCCGGCAGGAUACGAGACUUGGACAGAUUCGCGAACCAGAUUCUAUCCUACGGUUCUGAACUGGACUCUGAUCACCCCGGAUUUACAGACACGGUUUACAGAGCGAGGAGGAAGUACUUCGCCGACAUCGCCUACCACUACAAGCAUGGAGAGCCCAUUCCACGGGUCGAUUACACUCCCGCAGAAACCGCCACGUGGGGUGUCGUAUUCAGGAAACUGACGUCGAUGUACCCGAAGUACGCCUGCAGGGAACACAAUCACGUGUUUCCGCUGCUUAUAGAGAACUGCGGCUACAGGGAGGACAACAUUCCGCAGCUUGAGGAUAUCUCGAAUUUCCUAAAAGAUUGCACGGGGUUCACGCUUCGUCCAGUCGCCGGUCUUCUUUCGUCGCGCGACUUCCUCGCCGGGUUGGCCUUCCGAGUCUUUCACAGCACCCAGUACAUCAGGCACAGCAGCAAACCUCUCUACACCCCGGAACCCGACGUUUGCCACGAGGUCCUUGGCCAUGUUCCACUUUUCGCAGACCCGGCAUUCGCGCAGUUCUCUCAGGUCAUCGGGCUCGCCUCCCUCGGAGCUCCGGACGAGUACAUCGAGAAGCUCGCCACCUGCUUUUGGUUCACCGUUGAAUUCGGCCUCUGUAGACAAAACGGAGAACUGAAGGCUUACGGUGCCGGGCUUUUGUCGUCCUACGGUGAGCUGGAAUACAGCCUGAGCGACAAGCCGGAGCUGAGACCAUUCGAUCCGGCAAAAACGGCGCUUCAGAAAUACCCAAUAACCGAAUAUCAGCCGGUCUACUUCGUCGCCGAGGAUUUCGAGGACGCGAAGGAAAAGAUGAUAAAAUUCGCCCAAACGAUUCCGAGGAAAUUUGGCGUCAGAUACGAUCCGUACACGCAAAGUGUUAGCAUCAUCGACAGCAAACACCAAAUCGAAGAUUUAGUCACGAACGUUAAUCAGGAAGUUCAACUUUUGAUGGACGCGUUGAAAAAGCUGAAGGAUUAAACUUAUUGUUUUUAAUCAUAAUUGAUAUUAUUGUUAUACCUAUGUACAUUUUACGAUAAGAAUUCUUAACGCGGUAUAAAAUUUUCUAUUUGUUAUAUUUAAAGUAAUGUCAGUUUUUUUUUUUUUUUUUUUUAUUAUAAAAGUGAAGACGGAAAUACAUAUGUAGGUAGAUUAUACAUCAUGAUUGUGUGGUGUGUAUGAAAAUCUAUUUUUUUCUGUCGAUAUCAAGCAUUUUCUUAUUAUACACAGUUCCGUAUAUUUUUUUUUUUUUUCCAGCAUCAAGUAUAAUCGGUUUAAGAGAAGCAAUGAACGGUAACAAAAUAACAAGUUGAUUCUUUCUUAUGACGUCAUAUAUUUUUACGUUUUUUCACAACGAACAAUCUAUGGCAAUAUUAUCAUACUGGUGGAUAUAAGCGAAUUAUUUCUAAACGGUGUAGAAUUUUGAUAUUGUAGGGAUUCAUUGCGGGGAAAAAAAUUACGUGUUGCGGUACACCUGCACAUUAAAAUAAACGGAAUCGUCGAAACUUAUGACAAUAUUCCGAUUGCUAUGAAUAAUAUUUAAUUCGCUCUUACAGCGAGUCAAAAAUAUUACUUUCAAAUUUCAACACAAUCGCGGUAGAAAAAGAUUUCUUCCUUUAACGAAUUUCCUUCAAUACAAAUAUUCGUUACACACGCAUAUAUUGCAUACAUAUACAUAUACACACGCAUGUAUAUAUAAAUUUAUUACUAGGUGCUGGAAUUAAUUCGUAGGAUUUUAUAAAUUUGUUUUCAAGAAAUAAAAAAACGCUACGAAUUAAUUCCAUCACCUAGUAAAAUUGUUUAUUGAUAUGCAUCAUGCACCUUACACUGUUUACCGAAAAUUCAAAUUUCAGUCACAUGGGGCCAAAUUUUCGUUUGUUGUUUUUCUAAAUCAGAUGUCUAAUCCAAUUUCUCGUAGUAUAUUGUAUAUAGAAAUUACAUUUUAAUAUUGACUCGUACAUUAAUGGAUUAUAAAUUACAUACACAUGUAAAUUACGCACACGUAUAAAAUUCAAUUUUCACAACAUUCAUGUUGUGCGACACGUAAGUAUAAUAUUUAUUAAUAUUUUUAAACCGUGUCCAGCGGCAUUUCGGUUUUUCCUAUUUAUUAUCAGGUUUCAUUUUGUCGUAGAUUUUUUUUUUUUCUUUCACUCAAUACAUCUUAUAAUAAUAUGCCAAUGAACAGAUGAGAUAUAUAUCUAAUAUUAUUCAAUAAAUCGCAAGGAAGCAUACCAGCAGAGAUCGUUUCUGCAUUUGAGAAAAGCAUCCUAUAGAACAAAGGAAGACCUCGGUUAUUUUCUUCAUUAUCUAGAUACAUUCAUUGAAUUUAAGAAUGAAUAUCAUGACAAAUUUCUUCACACUGGUAUGUUGACAAUUUUUGGCACGUUUUGAGCGAACAGCAUAGGUAAAAAAUAAUAACCGAAAUUCGCGUGGACAUUGAUCUACAAUAAUCAAGUCGGAGCGUGACAAUGGAAUCGUAUGAAUAAACUUUUCUCCCGAGUUAAGACAAAUUAGUUGACAAAAAAAAGAAGUGGCAGAACGCCGUGAAUUAAGGGAGACACUUGAUGGAAUCACAAGAACUUACCAUAAUAUAAAAGGUGUCUCACGGUUGAGGCACUCUUCAUGUGUGUAACUAAUUGCAAGAUGAAGUUUUUUAUCCCGAACCAUUUGGAUAGAAUUUUAUACAUUGAAUGUAAUCAUUCAAGUAACGUGAGGCCCUUACGAAUUGAGAAUGAAACGUACCAUCAUGGGAAAAAACCCCACUUGGGUGUAAAUUCGUACCCAAAACUCAUAGACAAUGCUAAUGUCCCAUAAGAAAAAAGUUAGGGGUACGAAUUUACACCCAAUUUGGGUUUUUUUUCCGUGAGGGUAGAAUACGCUUGCUUCCGAAAUAUGUUUCGUAACAUUUUUAAUUGCCAAUUUGAAUUUGUUCCAACGAUUCGUUUGUAUUUCAAGUGCUAGGUUACUAUUUACGCAUAUAAAAUAUAUACGUAUAUGGGGUAUUCCACGUCAAGUCGAACGGUCGGUUUCCCCGACCCACUUUAACCUGAUUGCCCUUUCACACAGUAAAACUGCAUAUCGAAAGGAUGAUCUUUGAAUUUUUUCAACCCAUGAAUUCUUUACGAUCACUCAUCCAACAAAUUGAUUUCAACAAUGUCUGGAAUUCUCGUAGCUAAAAACUUGGACGACAUAUGAAAAAGUUCCUUCACAAAAAUUUUCGGUUCUCUCACGAACCGCUCGAGAGUAUUUUUUCCGUAUUUUUCAUACCCCGUUUCAUUGUAGUUUUGGUACAAAAUGCGCGCAAAUUAUUCGUAACUGAAAAUUGCCCUAAUCGAAUUGGCUACAAUUUAUACACGGCGUGCUUUUUUUAAUGCGAAAGGUUAUCUGAAAACUUUAUAAUGGGCGGUGUAGUGGUUCAGAAGACAUAUCAACAAAUAUUCACACCGUGGCGAGAAUUCGAUUCAAACUUCGCGGCGCGGCAAGCAAUCUGCUCACCCUGCGCGUUGCGCCGCUGCGCACUCGAGCGCGAUCGUCAAUUGUUACGCCUGUUGUUUAUAAUCUCGAUCGUCGACUUUUUCUCGAGGAGUAUAGGUCAGUCAAUCAUUUAUCACGAUUCCCGUCAUGAUACGCGAGUUCCGUACCGCCGGAUAAUAUUAUCGAAGCAUAUUCAUCCAAGGUAAGAAUUCAACGACGUGUUGCGAAUCGUAAUACCGACUGUAUAACUUUCACCGUUCGUAUCGCCACAUUAUAGUACGUAUGAACGAGAAAUUUCCAAGUUGCAUGUAAACCAUUGCCUUGUAACUUUUGAACUACUUUACCACCCACUACGAAACUUAUAGACAAUCUUUGGUAUUGGAGAAGACAUGCCGUGUAAAAAUUUCAGCCAAUUCGAUUCCGGCACUAUUUUGUUGCCAAAGAUUUACCAAGAUUUUCUCACGAAAACUAUACUUUAACGGGGCACGAAAAAUCGGACAAAAUUAUUUUUACAAAUUUCAUACAGAGAUGCGAAACUUUUGUAUAGGAACUUUUUCCAUAUGUUAUCUGAAUUUCAAGCUACGGUAACUUGAAGAACUGAAAUAUCGUCGAAAGCUGGUUUUUCGACUAGCUGUGGUAAAAAAAUGCUUGGUCAGGAAAGUCUGAAAAAAUUCAGAUUUGAUGAAUUAAAUACGAACUUCAAGCGAGCAAAAGGGCGAAAACAUCUGAAGUCGUCAAGUCGAAGGAAUCUCGUUUUUUCGUACGAUUUAACGUGGAAUCCCCCAUAUACCUUUGUGGUACACGCAAUAUCAGGAAAAAGUAGCCCUUGAAAUUUCGAACAUACCGCAUAUGCAUAAUACAAUAAUACAUGUCAACAUUUUAUCACCACUCACUGUGCUACCCCAUAUUGAUUUAUUACAUGUAUACAAUACGCAGAUACAUUGUACAUAAAUUACACAAUGAUUAUGGUUGGAAAAAGAGAGACAAACAAAAAAAAAAACAAAAACCAGUCAAAUAGUCACGAAAAUUUCAGAACUAUGCUGUAAUAUUUCUUUUUUUUUUUUUAUCAUAAAUAAUGUUAGUUCUCAUUUCUAAAUUCAUUAAAAUUACCCUAUGAACGAUGAAUUGUAUGUAUUUAUACGUACGUAUUUACUAAUCAAAGCUCGAAUGUUUUUCGCCGUACACGCGGUAUAAUAUAUGAUUAUGUUAUUAUUUUACUUAAUCUUUUUUAAACGAUAAUCGUUACUUUUUACUUUUAUUCCGCCUUGUUAUUCUUCAAUUUUCGGGGGCGGUGUCAAGGUUCCGAAUUUGAAAAGUUCCGAAGGCGCAGAAUUCCGAAUUUUUUCGUGACGAAACUUAAAGUAAGGAAACAAAUCUUCGAGGAAUCAUCAAAGUUUCGAAUGGUCAGAAAACCGACGGCUUAAAUUUCCGAAAUGCAAUAUUGCGAAAAGUAAAGUUCCGAUAGAGCAAAGUUCCGAAAAGUAAAGUUACGAUAGAGCAAAAU